GAUGAACGCUGGCGGCGUGCUUAACACAUGCAAGUCGAACGGUGAAAGAGAGCUUGCUCUCUGGCUCAGUGGCGAACGGGUGAGUAACACGUGAGCAAUCUGCCCCUGACUCUGGGAUAAGCGCUGGAAACGGCGUCUAAUACCGGAUACGAGCUCCGAAGCCAUCUUCAGCAGCUGGAAAGAACUUCAGUCAGGGAUGAGCUCGCGGCCUAUCAGCUUGUUGGUGAGGUAACGGCCAACCAAGGAGCCGACGAGUAGCCGGCGUGAGAGGGUGACCGGCAACAGUGAGAGUCGGACACGGCAGAGACACCUGCGGAAGGCGGCACAAGGGGAUAAUGCACGAUGAACGAAAGCCUGAUGCAGCAGCGACGCGUGAGGGAUGAAGGCCUUCGGGUUGACAACAGCUUAUCGCAGGAAAGAGGCGAGGGUGACGGUACCUGGAUAAGAAGCACCGGCUAACUACGUG
rnacentral:rRNA from 1 species